rnacentral:rRNA from 1 species
CCUACGGGUGGCAGCAGUGAGGAAUAUUGGUCAAUGGCCGUAAGGCUGAACCAGCCAAGUAGCGUGAAGGAUGACUGCCAUAUGGGUUGUAAACUUCUUUUAUAUGGGAAUAAAACGUUCCACGUGUGGGAUUUUGUAUGUACCAUAUGAAUAAGGAUCGGCUAACUCCGUGCCAGCAGCCGCGGUAAUACUGAGGAUCCGAGCGUUAUCCGGAUUUAUUGGGUUUAAAGGGAGCGUAGGUGGAUUGUUAAGUCAGGUGUGAAAGUUUGCGGCUCAACCGUAAAAUUGCAGUUGAAACUGGCAGUCUUGAGUGCAGUAGAGGUGGGCGGAAUUCGUGGUGUAGCGGUGAAAUGCAUAGAUAUCACGCAGAACUCCGAUUGCGAAGGCAGCAUACCGGCGCUCAACUGACGCUCAUGCACGAAAGUGUGGGUAUCGAACAGGAUUAGAUACCCCUGUAGUC